rnacentral:lncRNA from 1 species
CCCACUUUGCUUCCUCAAUAGUCUUAAUCGAUUUUAUACAUAAUUUGACCAACUGAGCCUUUUCCAAGGCAUAUGCCUUGUCAAUUUGCCAAAUGUUCUCACUCAAGUGCUUCACUUCUGCAAGGGCAUCAGUGCAAGUCUUCUCUCUCUCUCUCCAAAGCCCUUCGACUCAUCUCGAAAGCCUUCUUCUUAACCUCAUGGGCCUCCUUUUCAAAAGCCUCAAUUCAUGCAC